AAUGAAGAAACACCCACUUUCAACAAUUUCUCUCCAGCUGGGCCAGAGAGGGAAGAGGGAUGCAGUGGCUCCUGGCCCCUCCGCUUCAAGCUUGGGCCGACCCAUGGCAGGAGCUCAACUGCGCUGUGGAACCUCAGAGAAUAUACACUGCUUGAGGCCCUGACUCCUGGGCAGUACCACAGAGAUCUAAGGAUACAAGUCAUAUGCCUGGAUUUUCCCCCAAAGAGGAACCCAGUUCUUGGCGAGGAAAAGGAGAACAAGAGUCAGGCACUGUUCUAGCUGUAAAUACAGAAGUGAACAAAAGAGAGAAGAACCUGACUGUCCACUAUGCAGAUGUCCUCCUUUCCACCUCAAGAGAGAAGAGAAUCCAUCAGUUGGUAAUUCCUUCAACAUCUGGCCAUUGACCCCACAGACACCAUCCACACUCAUCUCCCCUCUCCAUUUUCAGUCCUAGAGGAGCGGAUGAGCCACCUCCUGUUGAAGGCUAACCCCUCCCUCUCUACUAUGGACCGAUCUCUUCUACCUCCUGAACGUCUACAGUGCAAUAGCCCCGGAGUCAAUUCCCAGUACCACCAAAGAAAAAAGACUACAUGCCAUCAGUCAUGUUUCCUGCUGACUUUCACAUUGCUUCUCCCCUGUGGGCUCUUUCCAGUGGUCCAUUUCUAAUGUAGGCAAUAAAGACAAGGACUUGAGAAUAUU